UCUUUGUUACAGCUUCUACAUCUUUCUCCCUCCUUCCCUUUUCUCUUUCUCUCUACCAGUCAAACUCAUCUUUGUCUCACCUUAUGUGUUUAUUCAUCAUCAAAUUUAUUUCUUAUAUAUUUUUUCUUCAUCUUAUAUGUAGAUUGACUUUGGAGAUCUAAAAAUGGAAGAUCUACAAACCAUAUUCGAAAUCAAGCACAAGAAUUUCCAAUAAAGCAUGUUACUUAUAUGAUAUUUCCUCAAUAUAUUUGGUAUAUGGAAGUUAUAGCAUAUGGAAUUGAUUCAAGAAAUCAAACUAACCAAUGAACAUUGCAGCUAUCAAAGGACAUUAUUACUCCUACAAUGUAGUGUCAUCAUUUUAUGAUUUUGAGAAAUGUUGAUUAACUAAUAAUUAUAUUUUAUCUUUUAGUACUUAAAUAUUUUUUAUUUUAUUUUAUAUGCAUUAUGUAUU